rnacentral:sRNA from 1 species
UUAAGUAUGUGCCUUGCCACAGCCUCUC